AUACUCUGGUUUCGCUUCAGACUGUAAAUAUCUUUCAUCUUUUACUAAAGAUUUCCACGGAGAGGAACAAUUCUGAGUUUUUAUCCAAUUUUUUGAAGGCUUGCAGCUUCAGGGCU